AUGUUCGCCCAACCUACCUUUCAAAGAUGCAGUGAGACGUGGUAUAGUUGCUGAGAAGCACUAAGGACAAAAGGAGGAGGAGGAGAGCCUAAAAGGCUAUGGAAUCUAAAAAUUUUAGUCUUAUUAGAAAGAAUCAGAUUGUUCUGGAAGUUCAACUUGACCCAUAUAGCAGCGUUGAUGCCUUCAUGGAAGAAGAAAUUGACAGCUAACCCAACCGAACACAGCCACUCAAGCCAAGAGACUCCUGGAAUAGAGAACGGAUCAUACUGACUCUGCAACUUGUUGCGACCAGGCUACAUACAACACCAGGAGCCUUUCCCCCUUCACAUUCACCAGGAGGGAGCACGGAAGGGUCACAACCCACACAAGCAUGAGUAAAGGAAAGACGCUGGCUUUAAUGAUUCUCUCUCUGUGAUCCACCACCACCAGAUAAACUGGCCCACAGAAGCUGAAGAAAGAGAGGCAUAUGGCCCAUUGGCCUCCCGUGUCCCUGGGCACAUGUCUAUCCUAUGGCUCUGAAGGAGGGAUCUGUUACUAUAAAAAAGGAAUGAGUCACAUAGAGGAGGUAACCAGUGGAUAGUGAGAGGGACAGUCUUCCACGGUGAGCUGUCCACAUAUUCUUGCCUGAACGCUGAAGGCUGGCCCAGGAGGCAGGCUUGCAGGAGACUAGGAACCCAAGUGGAAGGAAACCCAAGUCUACUAUAUACUCAUACAAGCAACAUUGCCUUGCAUAGAUAGCUUAUUUCAUCUUCCCUGUGAUGGUUCCACGGUAUUUUAAAUGGAAUGUUCUCACUUUUUACAAGAAUAAGCUGAGGCUCAUGGGGGUUGACUGACUUAUACAAGUUAGCAAAGAGUGGAGUACAGACUUGAAUUCAGGACUUUCAAGUGCUAAUUCCCAUGCUCUUUGCUCUAGACAAGAUCCUUCUGUGCUGAAGGGAUAGGGAGGGAGGCCGUGAUACUCAGUGACAGAUAUCCUUCAAGAAGUCUGUAAAAAAUGUAAUGAAAAGACAAUGGAUUUCCACCCACCCCCCAGGCCAUGUUUGAAGGCUGCUCAUAAAGUAGAUACUUCUUCCCAGCAGGGGAGCAGGGCCCUAUCUAUGCUCUGGGCCACCUGGUAAGGCUGACUCAAACGCCAGGCUGACGGGCUGCUGAAUCACCACUGUUAGCCCUGAUCCAGUAGUGGGUUCCAUGCUGGGAAGCUAGCUACAGGGUCAGCCGUUCAAGACCAUUAGCCACUGCAUGAGGAAAAGCCAAGGCUUUCUAUUCCUGUGAAGAUUUACAGUCUCAGAACCUCACAGAGGCAGUUCUACCUAUUCUAUAGGGUCAGUAUGCAUUGGCAUCAACUCAAUGGCAGUGAGCUUGAACUAUGUCCUAGAUGAAUUGAAAUGCAAGGGCAUCCUACAAAACUCCUGCACUCUUCAAAAUUGUCCUGGUCAUGAGAAACCAGGAACGACCAGGAUUCUGUUAUGAAGGAGACCUGGUGAGAAAUGCAGCCUGGGAUCCUGACACAGAGCAAAGGUGUUUCUGGGAAUCUAGUAAGAUGCCACUGGCCUCUGGUGUUCAGUUAAGAGUAAAGCCGCAGCCUCGGGUUCUUCCUUUGCUAAGCAUAUCACGGUGAGGUCAACAAGAGAGAAAAGUGUGUGUGUGUGUGUUUGUGAUAUGGGAACCCCCUGCACAAUUUUCUGUCAGUCUAAACUGAUACCCAAACAAACAACCAAAAUAAAACUUUAUUAAAACAGAA